GAUGAACGCUGGCGGCGUGCCUAAUACAUGCAAGUCGAGCGAAUGACGAGGAGCUUGCUCCUCUGAUUUAGCGGCGGACGGGUGAGUAACACGUGGGUAACCUGCCUGUAGGACGGGGAUAACUCCGGGAAACCGGAGCUAAUACCGGAUGAUAACGAGAAGCGCCUGCUUCUUUUUGUAAAGUCGGUUUCGGCUGACGCUUAAAGAUGGGCCCGCGGCGCAUUAGCUAGUUGGUGAGGUAACGGCUCACCAAGGCGACGAUGCGUAGCCGACCUGAGAGGGUGAUCGGCCACACCGGGACUGAGACACGGCCCAGACUCCUACGGGAGGCAGCAGUAGGGAAUCUUCGGCAAUGGACGAAAGUCUGACCGAGCAACGCCGCGUGAGCGAUGAAGGCCUUCGGGUCGUAAAGCUCUGUUGUCAGAGAAGAACAAGUACCGGAGUAACUGCCGGUACCUUGACGGUACCUGACCAGAAAGCCACGGCUAACUACGUGCCAGCCGCCGCAGUAAUAC
rnacentral:rRNA from 1 species